GCCGUCCAAUAGGAAGACGAGGUCCACGGCCCUCUGGACGCAGUUGGCCACCGACGGCUCUGAGAGGAGACGGAAACAUGGAGGGCCCACACUGACACUCGUGCAGCUCGCUGCUGCUCCAUCCCGCUCUAAACUCCACCAACUCAGCUAAAGUUAUUGUGACACAGGACUCUGCAAAAGGCACAGUCGGCACAGGCAGAACACAGGCAUCAUUUGGCCUAAAGCUUUACUGGCGAUGGUGCUGAAGAUCGACGGCUCACCGGGGCAGAGGACGUCCUCGAUCCUGUCGAUGAACUCCUCCGCCACCA